rnacentral:rRNA from 1 species
GAACGUCGUGAGACAGUUCGGUCCAUAUCCGGUGUAGGCGUUAGAAUAUUGAGAGGAGCCUUCUUUAGUACGAGAGGACCGAGAAGGACAUACCUCUGGUGUACCAGUUAUCGUGCCAACGGUAAACGCUGGGUAGCUAUGUAUGGAGAGGAUAACCGCUGAAAGCAUCUAAGUGGGAAGCCCACCUCAAGAUAAGUAUUCUC